CCUUCCUGUGGUACUCAGCUGUUUUUCCUUUUUCACAUUCAUCCUUGAAGUUCUCUUCACUGUGGGAUGAGGUGAUGGAAAAGUCUACAUCCAGGCAGCCUUAUGGAAAGUUAGUAACUGUUCGGUGUUUAAGAUAAACUUGUUAAAAAGGCUUUUGCUUACAGUAUGCAAGUUGUUUUAGAGACUAAAAAAAAAUCUUCAGGUACACUGAAUGGGAGUUAGGGAUACUUUCUGCUUAUUGUCUUCAUUUUUGUGGAGUUUUUUAAAUUGAUGUUGAAGGUUUGAGGUUAAAAUUUACUUUCGUUGAAAUUUUCUUUUGAGAUUGUGUUUUCCAUUAUUCCAGAAGAAAAGAUUGCUCUAUCAGAGUGAGGUAGUAGAUUGUAUAGUUGUGGGGUAGUGAUUUUACCCUGGUCAGGAGAUAACUAUACAAUCUAUUGCCUUCCCUGAGGAGUAGACUUGCUGCAUUAUUUUGAUUUUUAUCUAGGUGAUAAUUAAAAUUCAGAUGAAUUCAUUUUGACAUUCUUUUGUGUUUACAGUUAUUAGUUGUUAAGUUUCUCUCCAAGUAGAAUGCAGUAAAAACUGAUCUUAAGUUUUAAUUUUCACAUGUGGUGUAUAUAUAUAUUUCAGAAAUUUGAAAAUUAAAGCAAAAAUUUUGGAGAAAGUAAGUACCUUUCAGGAAAUAUUAGUAGAAGACUAGGCCCUUUUGGAAUUAUGAACCGGUGCACUGCCAUAUAUUCUGAUAGCACAUGUCCAGGGUGACAUCUUGGGUAGUAAAGGUACAUACCAACUGGAAGGUCACUGUUUCAGCUAAAUUUGAGUCCAGUUGAUUAUCCAUUCCUACCAUGGUUUUGAGUGGUAUCAGAGAAUGCCGGAAGCACUGCUUCAUUGGUGUGCAGAUUUGGGCAGGCUUUACUUGCCAGCCUGGAGCAGGUGAGGUAAGCUGUGGGUUUUACUUUUGCUCACUGGUAAGUUGCUAAGAAAACUUAAAAGUGGUCCUUCACAAAGGAGGAUCCCCUGAAACUAACACAUGAAAUGCAUUAUCUAUUCCUUUAAAUAUGAGAUGAGUCUACUUAAAUUUUAGCAACCAUGAAGGCCCGUGUUUCAGCUUUCUUUCAGUGCUCAAACCAUAUAGACGCUAUAGCUAAACAAGGGCGAAAGCUCCCUAUUUAAAGUGCUUGUUUAAACUACAUAUUUUGGAUGCAAGAGAAAAGAGGCAAAAUGUGGAGGUAAAGGAAAAGUCACCUCUUCCAUUUAUUUCUGAAUCUUAAAUAUCUCAGAGUCACAGUGUAAUGCCAUUGGCAGCAGAAAUUUUACAGAAAACACAAAACUCGCUUGGAUAGGUCUAACUUAGAUUAUUUAUCCUGGGCCAGAUUUUUUUUUUUUUUUACUUCAACCUUGACAUAAUAGAGGAAGAAUUGGUGGUCCUAAAUUGGAUGUAUAAACACUGGGGAAAACUUGACAUUCAUUGUCUUUUGGUGUGAAAGAAGAACAGAAAUGUGUGGGGAAUUCUUUGGCAGUAUGCAUAACUCACCUGAAAAGUCUUGGUAUUUUGUGUUUUUUCUGAACAUGUCUCCUAAACAUGGUUAUUUUCUACUCUCCACUAGGAAACUUAUAUGGAAAAAGUUUAUUUCGGGCCGGGGAUUUAGCCCAGUGGUUCCGUCGCCUGCCUUGCAAGCGCAAGGAGACCCUAGUUGGAUCCCCGGUACCAAAAAAAAAAAAGAAAAAGUUUAUUUCAUCUAUUAACAUAAGGGCUACUUGCUAGCCAAAUAGACUGAGUGGAUCAAAUUGUGCGGAACUUAACAUUUUAUGAAAAUACAUAUAAGAUAAUUAAGGAGAACGUAAUAGUCUCUAAAAAGCUUGUUUUUAAUAGUGACAAAAUUGUGAUCAGAAUUUGAUUUUGUUUUCUAUAAACUAAGGGUGAAAUUUUGAAAUACUUUAACAGGCCGAAGAACUGAAUGUAACCCCGAAACAUUUGACCCUAAAAUGGGACAGACAUUAAGUUUAAUUUGUUCCAGUUGAUAAGUAGCAAACAGGAUUUAUAUAUAGUUUCAGCUAACUUUCCAGUUUUAUCAAGAGGCUGGAGAUUUUAUGAAAUCUCGCAUUUGAGUUUUGGUAAUUAAAUGUUUUAAACAAAACUAGUAGUUGGUGGGCUGAGUAUUAUGUUACUGGUUUGCAUCCUCUGAUAUAAUUACUUUCUUGUCCCUUUGUAACUUGAGGUUUUUAAGAAAAUAUUUUUGAGGCUUUAUGCCAAGGUCAUAUAGCAAAUAGCUUUGAAAGCAUCAGCGAAAGUUCUGACUAGUUGAAUUUGAAACAAAACUCAAAUAUGGCCUAACUUAACAGGUUAUUUUGAAGUGAAUCUGCCAAGUAGAAGAACAGCAAGAAUACAGUGGGUUCCUAGGAAGAGGUAGUAGGUUGCAUAGUUUUAGGGCAGGGAUUUUGCCCACAAGGAGGUAACUAUACGACCUGCUGCCUUUCUUAGGGCCUUAUUAUUCCACGGUACCCUGUUUUCUUUGCUACCUUGCUGUGGUGUAAGCAGAGUUCUUUCUGUAGGUUUUCUUCUAAAUAAAAACAUUGCAGGGAUGCCAAAGACAGCAAUGUUUGCAUUACUGAUAUAAUUAGCGUGGUGCCAAUGUCAGUGACAGUUAAUGAGAUUUGAGGCUCUUGAAGUAUAGUUAGGUGUUGUUUAUGUAGUCCGGUGUGGUGGCACAAGCCUGUGAUCCUAGCACGUGGGAGGCUGAGGCAGGAGGAUCGAUGAAAGUUUGAGGCCAGCCUAAACUAUAUAGCCAGAUCCUGUCUCAAAAAGACCCUCUUCCUCCCAAAAAAGUUGUUUGUGUGUCUCACUUUGGGUCAUUGGGAGGUUUUUGGAAAAGCAGUUUUUUUGUUUUGUGCUUAGUUUUUUCUCUGUGUGUGUCCUAGAAACUCACUUAUUCCCUUUUCUAUAUGUUUCUGCAUUAUAAAAAGCAUUUUGUAAAACUAUUGGAAUAUUUUGCUCUUCAUUAUAUUUGUAGAUCUUAUGAAAUCUUUGGGAUUUUGUCUUCUGGAUUUAAAAUUUAAGGCAGUUUCUCAGGGUAUGGGAAUCAGUAACUGGAUUGAACUCCUCAUUGUGGUUUGUAACCCUGUGAUCAAAUCUGUUUAAUGUGUGCAAGUCUCUUCUAGUCCUUGAAUGAAAAUGAUUAUCAGAAUAGUGG
ensembl:lncRNA